GGGGAUGUGGCAGUUUUCGGUAACCUCCGAUUGAGCUAACUCCAAGAAAACAGGAAAGGGAAUUACUCAGCAGAGAACCUGGCCGCGAUAAAUACUUAAGAAAUGUUAGCUCCUAUUCUUAAAAUGAAGGGCACGCCUCGUCUUCUCCAUGGCUGUGGGGCUGGUGAGGGGGCAGUGGGGAAGGGAGAAGAGGAAAAAGUGAAUUUUUCUCUCUCUACUUAAACUAAAAGCCUACAAAAUUCUUCCAAAUUAUAAGCAGUUAUGAAAAUAAUUUCUCAUGUGCUUUCUAUCGUUCAGCAAUGGAGAAUUGGGGGUGGGGCCAUUAGGGGGUCAUGACUUUUUCAGGGUUCGGCAAAAACUUAGUACCGUUCCCGAAGCCAAGAUGAACCAGAAAUCGGCAGGGGAAAAUAGAUGGCGUCAGAGCUGGUUGUACCCUGGGUGUCCAGGGUGAAGGCUAAAAAUGGUCUCUCCUUUGUGAAGUGUGGCUCAUUAGGAGUUUCCCUCCUCAGGUGGAAAAAAGUAGCAGUUGGAGCUACAGAAAUAGGAGUCACAUGCUGUAGAACAGACACUGUAAUUGAACCUACCCUUAGUAUCUGCUUUAAAAGUCAACAGUUGAGAGAGAAAGUGAUUUAUUGUCAUCAGGCCAAUCAUAGAAUACCUUCAAAACAUUUAAGUAGCACUUCAUUAAAUGGGGAAUAUGGGACAUCUGUUAACACCAACGAUACUUCCUCUUGUCUUACAGGAUGUUCUCUCAGACAUGUUUUGUCAAGGCAAAAUAGCUCAGCUCAGUGUCAGCUGGGCACCUGAGGAAAUAUACUAUCUUAUUCAUCCCACUGAAGCAGUUACAAUUAUUAAAAAAAAAAAAAAAAAGAAUUCCUAUUUAAAUGCAAUAAGUAGCAUUCUGAUUAUUACAUGGACGAAAAGGGCAUGGUAGAUGUCAAUCCAGGGGAUUUUUAUUCUGUGAGAGCCUAAUACUUUCAAAUGAUCAUUCAAUGAAUUGAAGUUUAAAAAUGAAAAAAGUCUUUGAAGAUUAUGUAUGGUCAAGUACUACUGGAGUUGAUGAUGUAACAGAUGAUUAAGUAAACAGAAUAAUUUUUUCUCUCUGGAGAUUCAAACUGGUAUAAGGCAAUGGAUAACAAAGGCAAAACAAAAAACAAAAGAAGAACCAAAACAACUGAACAGGCAUACCUGUUUUUCUCCAUGAGACUGAGUGAAGUGGGUAACAGCACUCUAAGCAAACUGAAAGGCUAUAAGAAUCUUGGAAGCACUAUAAUGAAGAAGAAAUGUACCAGAACACUAAAAAUAGAUAACUAUGGUCUCAAAUUUCAAAAGAAGGGGAAAGAUGGAUUUUGCAACAUUAGAAAAGAUGCAUAUUCCUGUUAUGAACUGAAUGUUUGUGCCCUCCCCUCAAUUCAUCAGUUGAGCCUCUCCCUGUGUGAUGGUUCAUCAGUUGAGCCUCUCCCUGUGUGAGGUGGGGGCCUUUGGGAAGUAAUUAGGAUUAGGUGAGGUGAGGAGGGUGAGGCACUCAUGAGUGGAAUUAGUGCCCUUAUAAAAAAACCCAGAGAGCUCUCUCACUCUUUCUACUAUUCGAGGAUACAGUGAGAAGUUGGAAGUCUGAAACCUGGAAGAGGGCUCUAACCAGAACCCAACCAUGCUGGCACCCUGAUUUUGAAUUUCUAACCUCCAGGACUUUGAGAAAUAAAUUUGUAUUGUUUGUAAGCCACCCAAUCAAUCUAUGGUAAUCUGUUAUAGUAGCCUGAACUAAAUCACUACCAAGCUAAAUCUAGCACAUCUCCCUCGGAAAAGGAAGAGUAAACACCAGUAAUUAUUUUUAUUAAAAGCCAAUUAUGUUGGACGAACUUGACUUUCUUUUCCAUUCCUUCAAUCAGGUGUAUUUAUGAGGUGCCUCAACAUGUGGCAAGGGUUGCUCUAAGCACUAAGGGUACAGCAGUGAACAAGACAAACCAAAUGUCUGCUUUCCUGGAGGGUCCAUUCUCAUGUGUGGAGACACACACAACAAAAUCAAUUAAACAGAUAAACAGAUCUUUUCAGACAGAAAAAAAGAAAAAAAAGGGGUAGGAAGAAAAUGAAGCAGGGCUGUGGGAUGGAGCACAGUUCUCAGCCUUGGCACUGUUGGCCCUUGGGGCUGGAUAAUCCUGUGUCCCACGGGGCGCUCUUGUGAUUGUUGGAUGUGUAGCAGCAUUUGCGACCUCUACCCAUAGAUGGCAGUAGCAUCACCCGAGUUGUGGCAAUCAAAAAUGUCUCCAGGUAUUGCUAGACAUCCCCUAGGUGGGAGGGGCAAACUAGAAUAACUAGUUCUUGAAACUAGUUAUUGAAAACUAGAAUAACUUGGUGGUACAGUUAUUGCUACUGUAGAUGGAGCAGUUAUAGGAGGUCUCUCUGGGGAACCCCAAACCAUGAGAAUAAGCCAGCCAUGUCAGGAGAGUUCUAGACAGAGAGUUACAGCUGGCACUAAAUCACUAAAUUGGAGGAGUCUGGCGGGCAAGACUGAGGGCUGGUAGAGAGAGUGGUCUUAGUGAUCACAGACGUAAGCAGCAACUGGGGGACACAGGGCCUUAGAGACUAUAGUUAAGAAUAAGAAUUUUAUUGCAAAAUAAAUGAGAAGACAUUGGAGGGUUUUAAAAAGAUCGGUAGCAAAAGAAUGAUAUUCUCAUUUGAAAGACUCACUCAAGCCAGUGAAUGGAGAAUGGACUGUAGGACCAGGUUGGCAGGAUGGAGACAGGAGUCUGGUUGAAAGACCCACAUGGGCUGCCCAGGGCAGGGCUGCCACAUAAGGUUGGGUGGAUUGUGUGUGUACUGGGUUGAUGGUUUAUAGAUAGGAAACUGGGGCUCAGGUAAGUAGUUAUACUCAGCUAGUUACAUUAUAAUAAAGUUGAGAAGGAGGCCACCUCCAAUAUGGUUAGAUGAAAGAUCCAGGUCUGACAAACAAUUCCAGUCUCCAAUUUCCCUCUUGCCCUGGAAUUGGAAGUUAGCAGUAAGGAAAUGUAUCAUGGCACUCCAUGAACUUGUAGUUCAGUUAUGGACAUGUUGGCAGAAGUAAAUGGUGAUUGGUGCUCAGUGGCAAAAACAGGGACCUCUGAGAUAAAUAGAAAGAACACGAAACAUACGAACAAGAAGAAAGCCAGUAUAGCAAUAUUAAUAUCAGGGAGAAAAAAGAGACGAAAGCAAAAUUUAAUAAAGUAGAAAACAAGCAAACAAAAACAAAAGGAAAAGAUUAACGAAACCAAAUCUAGUUAUUAGAAAAGACUAAUAAUAUGAACCCAUCUCUAGAAAGAUUGAACAAGGAAAAAAGAGAGAUGAUACAAAUAGAUAAUAUUAGGAAUAAAAGAAUUACAUAACUAACUACAGAUAUAGUAGAGAUUGAAAACUAGUAAGAGAAUAUGAACAAUUUUAUUCCAAAACCUUUGAAAACUUUGAUGAACAAUUUUCUAGAAAAAUAUUAAAUAGCAAAGUUGAUGCAGAAAGAAUUAGAAAACCUGAACAGACCAGUAAUCAUUAAGAAAUCACAUUACUAGUAAAAUAUCUAUCCCCCAAAUAAGGAAUAGGCACAGACAAUUCUAUAAAUAUUACCUAAUUCUCACGUAUUAGAGAAACCCCUUGGCUUAUACAAGUUAUUCUGAAGAACAGAAGAAAAGGAAGACUCCCUAGUUCAUUUUAUGGUGUCAGUACAACUUUGACUCCUAAACCAGACAAGAGCUUGUGUGAUGAAGGAAAAUCAUAGGCCAGUGUCAAUUAGGAAAAUCUAAAUUAUUUCCCAUGGUAGAGGGAAACUAAAUACUGCACUGAAGUUUCUAAAAUUCACCCGUCUAAAUGACUUCACCAUCCCCCUUUCAAUUUAUAUUUGACUUUAAGUUACAACUUCAGUAUAAAUGCUGUUUAAGGUAGUCUGGGAUAUAAAGAUGUAUAAGCCUCAAGUGGCUUACAUCCAGAUAGGUUAAGAGAGUCUCUAGUAAAUAUAACAUGAGGCAGAAUGUGAGGACGGCCACAAAAAGGUUCAAAGUACAAUGAGAUUCAGGAGAUGGAGGGAUUCCUUCUGUUUGAUAAGACUGGAGAAUGUUUUAGGAAGGAAGAGACAUUUGGUCUGGGUCUUAAAUGAAGAGUGGAAUUUCAAUAUGCAGGAAACAAGAUGGAGGAGCAAGGAAUUAAAAGAGGUGCCAAGGGCCUCCCCUGGUGGCGCAGUGGUUGAGAGUCCGCCUGCCGAUGCAGGGGACACAGGUUCGUGCCCCGGUCCGGGAAGAUCCCACAUGCCGCGGAGCGGCUGUGCCCGUGAGCCAUGGCCGCUGAGCCUGCGCGUCUGGAGCCUGUGCUCUGUAACGGGAGAGGCCACAACAGUGAGAGGCCCGCGUAACGCAAAAAAAAAAAAAAAAAAAAGACCACCAAAAA